GGUCCCGUAGCUCAGCUGGUUAGAGCGUCGUACUAAUAAUGCGAAGGUCGCGAGUUCGAUCCUCUCCGGGACCA
rnacentral:tRNA from 2 species